UUUCUAAUUAUUUCCACACAGCAGGCUUAAUUGCUGCACCUACCAGAGAAAAUUCCUGGAGAUCUAGAACAAUUGGUGAGGAGGGGAUGCCUCGGCAGUGCCUGCAGCAUUGUUCAGGCCUCAAAAAUCUCUUCAGUGGCUCCCACUGUCCGCGCUCAGAGUCCAAGCCUCCAGACAAGCUGACGAGAGUCUUGCCAUCUGCUCCUGCUGUCUCAGGCCCGCGGCCCCUCUCUGACAGCCUCCUUCUCUCCGGCUUCCCCAUUCACCUGACCGGGCCCAGGCUGGGACUUCACUCCAAGUCUUUCGGGAGCCUGGCCAGGGCAGGAUGGGACUCACGGUGGCGACACCCACCCGAUGGUCCCGCUGCAUCAUGACGGUGUGGAAAUUCAAAGUGAGCUACAGGUAAAUAGCCCACGUUUCCUCCGAAGAUGGUGACAAUGUGAAAAUUGGAAGAUGAAUGGGGAAGGCUCGAGUGUCCUCACGUCUGGGGUGGAAAUGUUGGUGAGGAUGUCCGUUUUGUGGGGCCUGUGUGCAAUUCCAUUUCAACAUUGCUCAGAUGGGUUGAGACUAGAACACCUGUUGCCAUCAUUGCUACCUUGAAAGUCACCGUGUCAGAAACAAUAAAGGUCACGGAUAGACGUGGCAAUACCCGUCUGUUCUGUGUCAGUGGCUUCCUUUCAUUGACAGUGGACAAAAUUCAUUUCAAGGGGACC